rnacentral:tRNA from 1 species
AAAUAAGAAGUAAAAUAUUACAUUUAGUUUCGACCUAAAAAAAUGGUAAUUAUAAAUUACCCUUAUUUA